rnacentral:rRNA from 1 species
CCUACGGGCGGCUGCAGUGGGGAAUAUUGGACAAUGGGCGAAAGCCUGAUCCAGCCAUGCCGCGUGUGUGAAGAAGGCCUUCGGGUUGUAAAGCACUUUCAGUGGGGAAGAAAGCCUUGGGGCUAAUACCCUCGAGGAAGGACAUCACCCACAGAAGAAGCACCGGCUAACUCCGUGCCAGCAGCCGCGGUAAUACGGAGGGUGCGAGCGUUAAUCGGAAUUACUGGGCGUAAAGCGCGCGUAGGCGGUCUGAUAAGCCGGUUGUGAAAGCCCCGGGCUCAACCUGGGAACGGCAUCCGGAACUGUCAGGCUAGAGUGCAGGAGAGGAAGGUAGAAUUCCCGGUGUAGCGGUGAAAUGCGUAGAGAUCGGGAGGAAUACCAGUGGCGAAGGCGGCCUUCUGGACUGACACUGACGCUGAGGUGCGAAAGCGUGGGUAGCAAACAGGAUUAGAUACCGGGUAGUC